rnacentral:rRNA from 1 species
AUUGAACGCUGGCGGCAGGACUAACACAUGCAAGUCGAACGAGUGGCGGACGGGUGAGUAAUGUCUGGGAAACUGCCUGAUGGAGGGGGAUAACUACUGGAAACGGUAGCUAAUACCGCAUACCAUCAGAUGUGCCCAGAUGGGAUUAGCUAGUUGGUGGGGUAACGGCUAACCAAGGCGACGAUCCCUAGCUGGCCUGGGAGGAGGACCAGCCACACUGGAACUGAGACACGGUACAGGCUCCGAAGGGAGGCAGCAGUGGGGAAUAUUGGACAAUGGGCGAAAGCCUGAUCCAGCCAUGCCGCGUGUGUGAAGAAGGUCUUCGGAUUGUAAAGCACUUUAAGUUGGGAGGCGUUACCAACAGAAUAAGCACCGGCUAACUUCGUGCCAGCAGCCGCGGUAAUUC